GAAAGAGUCAGAGAAAAGGAAAAGAACAACUUUGAG
rnacentral:rRNA from 1 species